GUACACUCCUGCGGGAGGCAGCAGUGGGGAAUAUUGGACAAUGGGCGCAAGCCUGAUCCAGCCAUGCCGCGUGAGUGAUGAAGGCCCUAGGGUUGUAAAGCUCUUUCACCGGUGAAGAUAAUGACGGUAACCGGAGAAGAAGCCCCGGCUAACUUCGUGCCAGCAGCCGCGGUAAUACGAAGGGGGCUAGCGUUGUUCGGAUUUACUGGGCGUAAAGCGCACGUAGGCGGACUAUUAAGUCAGGGGUGAAAUCCCGGGGCUCAACCCCGGAACUGCCUUUGAUACUGGUAGUCUUGAGUUCGAGAGAGGUGAGUGGAAUUCCGAGUGUAGAGGUGAAAUUCGUAGAUAUUCGGAGGAACACCAGUGGCGAAGGCGGCUCACUGGCUCGAUACUGACGCUGAGGUGCGAAAGCGUGGGGAGCAAACAGGAUUAGAUACCCGUGUAGUCC
rnacentral:rRNA from 1 species